ACAUUCCGGUUGAUCCUGCCGGAGGACAUUGCUAUUGGGAUUCGAUUUAGCCAUGCUAGUCGGACGAGUUUAGACUCGUGGCAGAUAGCUCAGUAACACGUGGCCAAGCUACCCUUCAGUCGGCAAUACCCUCGGGAAACUGAGGUUAACGGCCGAUGUGGGACGCCUGCUGGAAUGCGGCGUUCUCUAAAGGCGACGCUGAAGGAUGCGGCUGCGGCCGAUUAGGUUGACGGUGGGGUAACGGCCCACCGUGCCAGUAAUCGGUACGGGUGAUGAGAGUCAGAGCCCGGAGACGGAAUCUGAGACAAGAUUCCGGGCCCUACGGGGCGCAGCAGGCGCGAAACCUUUACACUGCACGGAAGUGCGAUAGGGGAAUCCCAAGUGCGAGGGCAUAUUCGCCCUCGCUUUUGUUGACCGUAAGGUGGUCAACGAAUAAGAGCUGGGCAAGACCGGUGCCAGCCGCCGCGGUAAUACCGGCAGCUCGAGUGAUGUC
rnacentral:rRNA from 1 species